UACGUAGGGCGCAAGCGUUGUCCGGAAUUAUUGGGCGUAAAGAGCUCGUAGGCGGCCAGUUGCGUCUGCUGUGAAAUCCCGGGGCUCAACCCCGGGCGUGCAGUGGAUACGGGCUGGCUAGAGGUAGGCAGGGGAGAACGGAAUUCCCGGUGUAGCGGUGAAAUGCGCAGAUAUCGGGAGGAACACCGGUGGCGAAGGCGGUUCUCUGGGCCUGUACUGACGCUCAUGCACGAAAGCGUGGGGAGCAAACAGG
rnacentral:rRNA from 1 species